GCCCGUUUAGCUCAGUGGCAGAGCGUUGGUCUUGUAAACCAAAGGUCGUUGGUUCAAUCCCGGCAGUGGGCA